rnacentral:rRNA from 1 species
ACGGGGCGAGCAGGCGCGAAAACUUCACACUGUGCGAAAGCACGAUGAGGGAAUCCCGAGUGCCAACUCGUAAGAGUUGGCUGUUUCUCUGUCUAAAAAAUAGAGAGAGUAAGAGCUGGGUAAGACGGGUGCCAGCCGCCGCGGUAAUACCUGCAGCUCAAGUGGUGGCCACUAUUAUUGGGCCUAAAACGUCCGUAGCCGGUUUAAUAAAUGCCGGGGUAAAUCGUGUAGCUUAACUAUACGAAUUCCGGGUAGACUGUUAGACUUGAGACCGGGAGAAGCUAGAGGUACUCCUGGGGUAGAGGUGAAAUUCUGUAAUCCUAGGGGGACCACCAGUGGCGAAGGCGUCUAGCUAGAACGGGUCUGACGGUGAGGGACGAAGCCCUGGGGCGCAAACCGGAUUAGAUACCCGGGUAGUCCAGGGUGUAAACGCUGCUCGCUUGAUGUUAGUUGGGCUCCGAGCCCAACUAGUGUCGGAGAGAAGUUGUUAAGCGAGCUGCCUGGGAAGUACGGCCGCAAGACUGAAACUUAAAGGAAUUGGCGGGGGAGCACAGCAACGGGUGGAGCGUGCGGUUUAAUUGGAUUCAACGCCGGAAAUCUCACCGGAGGCGACGGUUACAUGAAGGCCAGGUUGAUGACUUUGCCUGAUUUUCCGAGAGGUGGUGCAUGGCCGCCGUCAGUUCGUACCGUAAGGCGUUCUGUUA